rnacentral:rRNA from 1 species
GACGAACGCUGGCGGCGUGCCUAAUACAUGCAAGUUGAGCGAUGAAGAUUGGUGCUUGCACCAAUUUGAAGAGCAGCGAACGGGUGAGUAACGCGUGGGGAAUCUGCCUUUGAGCGGGGGACAACAUUUGGAAACGAAUGCUAAUACCGCAUAACAACUUUAAACAUAAGUUUUAAGUUUGAAAGAUGCAAUUGCAUCACUCAAAGAUGAUCCCGCGUUGUAUUAGCUAGUUGGUGAGGUAAAGGCUCACCAAGGCGAUGAUACAUAGCCGACCUGAGAGGGUGAUCGGCCACAUUGGGACUGAGACACGGCCCAAACUCCUACGGGAGGCAGCAGUAGGGAAUCUUCGGCAAUGGACGAAAGUCUGACCGAGCAACGCCGCGUGAGUGAAGAAGGUUGUCGGAUCGUAAAACUCUGUUGGUAGAGAAGAACGUUGGUGAGAGUGGAAAGCUCAUCAAGUGACGGUAACUACCCAGAAAGGGACGGCUAACUACGUG